rnacentral:rRNA from 1 species
ACGAACGCUGGCGGCGUGCUUAACACAUGCAAGUCGAACGGAAAGGCCCUGCUUUUGUGGGGUGCUCGGGUGGCGAACGGGUGAUUAACACGUGAGUAACCUGCCCUUGACUUUGGGAUAACUUCAGGAAACUGGGGCUAAUACCGGAUAGGAGCUCCUGCUGCAUGGUGGGGGUUGGAAAGUUUCGGCGGUUGGGGAUGGACUCGCGGCUUAUCAGCUUGUUGGUGGGGUAGUGGCUUACCAAGGCUUUGCCGGGUAGCCGGCCUGAGAGGGUGACCGGCCACAUUGGGACUGAGAUACGGCCCAGACUCCUACGGGAGGCAGCAGUGGGGAAUAUUGCACAAUGGGCGGAAGCCUGAUGCAGCAACGCCGCGUGCGGGAUGACAGCCUUCGGGUUGUAAACCGCUUUCGCCUGUGACGAAGCGUGAGUGACGGUAAUGGGUAAAGAAGCACCGGCUAACUACGUG